UGUGAUUGUGAGGAGUAUGAUGACAUCUGAACCGAUAAAACAUUCAUCCCAAGGAUAAGAAUUUGUUACUAAGGCAAGUACUACAUGAUUUAGAGGACCGGAGAGGAAGAAUUUGAAGAAAAUACAUAAAAACAAGCAACUCUCAUGUUUCUUUGGAAUCCACCAUGAGUUUAUUUCAGUUGAUGAGUUCCACUCUUGAUAAAAGUGAGAGAAUGUGAUCAGCUGUUUCCAAUUCAGCUUCUCUGAGGGACAGUUGUACACACCUCUACCAGAUCUUUCCCAGGAUAAAGACUCUACAUUCCGCAUUUCUUUGGGGCUUCCCGGCAGAAACAAAUACACAGGCCUCACAAAACUUGAAACAGAAGUAAUAAAGCACCAAAGAAGAGAUGUGAAAUUCUCCAUUUCAAAAUAAAAUCUUGCUGCUUUUGGCAGCUACUUCCCAGGACAUCCUGUUUUGAUUUUUCCAUUUCAUCUAUUCUUCACCUCUCCUCAAGUCUGGUCUGAAGCAUCUUCAUUCUUCCUUGCCUUGCUGUACUCAGCUCUCUCACUCUCUCACUGAUUUAUGUUCAAUUCUAACUGAAAAUGCUCCGCCACUGUUUUUCAAGCACUUUCAGUGAAGAGCUUAACACAG
ensembl:lncRNA